CACAAUAACAUCAUAAUCUCAUUUUCAAUUAGGUAGGACAACAACUUUUCCUUUUUAUCUGACUACUGCUAUCCAUGGGGGUUCAUAGGGAUGUCCCCACUACGCAUGAACUCUUAUUCAACAUUAUCAACUAACAGGCCGUCCCCAUACCCCGUCUAGUAUGAACACCAAAAAUAUCAUCCCUCAAUACCGCGUCCGGUAUGAGGGUAAAACGGAUCGUCUCAUACCCCUUCCGGUAUGAGCACGAAAAAUAAAAAUCCUCGAUACCCUAUCCGAUAUGAGGCGACGUUCACGGUAGGAUUCCCUAUGUACCCAGUCCGUCCACCAUCUCUCAGGAUAUCCAGUAAGGCUAUCAUUCAUUCAUUCACUUAAUCAAGUAAUUUUUCACUUACAU
rnacentral:lncRNA from 1 species